UGAACGCUGGCGGCAUGCCUUACACAUGCAAGUCGAACGGCAGCGCGGGGCAACCUGGCGGCGAGUGGCGAACGGGUGAGUAAUAUAUCGGAACGUACCCUGGAGUGGGGGAUAACGUAGCGAAAGUUACGCUAAUACCGCAUACGAUCUAAGGAUGAAAGUGGGGGAUCGCAAGACCUCAUGCUCCUGGAGCGGCCGAUAUCUGAUUAGCUAGUUGGUAGGGUAAAAGCCUACCAAGGCAUCGAUCAGUAGCUGGUCUGAGAGGACGACCAGCCACACUGGAACUGAGACACGGUCCAGACUCCUACGGGAGGCAGCAGUGGGGAAUUUUGGACAAUGGGCGAAAGCCUGAUCCAGCAAUGCCGCGUGAGUGAAGAAGGCCUUCGGGUUGUAAAGCUCUUUUGUCAGGGAAGAAACGGUGAGGGCUAAUAUCCCUUGCUAAUGACGGUACCUGAAGAAUAAGCACCGGCUAACUACGUGCCAGCAGCCGCGGUAAUACGUAGGGUGCAAGCGUUAAUCGGAAUUACUGGGCGUAAAGCGUGCGCAGGCGGUUUUGUAAGUCUGUCGUGAAAUCCCCGGGCUCAACCUGGGAAUGGCGAUGGAGACUGCAAGGCUAGAGUUUGGCAGAGGGGGGUAGAAUUCCACGUGUAGCAGUGAAAUGCGUAGAUAUGUGGAGGAACACCGAUGGCGAAGGCAGCCCCCUGGGUCAAGACUGACGCUGAGG
rnacentral:rRNA from 1 species